rnacentral:lncRNA from 1 species
GUCCCCAACCAUCUGAUAUGGCUCAUCUUCUUCUAUUGGCUUUUCCACUCAUGUCUCAAUGCUGUGGCAGAGCUCCUGCAGUUUGGAGACCGCGAGUUCUACAGGGACUGGUGAACUGGAAUAUCCCCGUGCACAAGUGGUGCAUCAGACACUUCUACAAGCCUAUGCUCAGACUGGGCAGCAACAAAUGGAUGGCCAGGACUGGGGUCUUUUUGGCGUCAGCCUUCUUCCAUGAGUACCUAGUGAGCAUUCCCCUGAGGAUGUUCCGCCUCUGGGCAUUCACAGCCAUGAUGGCUCAGGUCCCACUGGCCUGGAUUGUGAACCGCUUCUUCCAAGGGAACUAUGGCAAUGCAGCUGUGUGGGUGACACUCAUCAUUGGGCAACCGGUGGCUGUGCUCAUGUAUGUCCACGACUACUACGUGCUCAACUAUGAUGCCCCAGUAGGGGCCUGAGCUACUGCCAAAGGCCAGCCCUCCCUAACCUGGGCCUGGAGUUCUGGAGGGCUUCCUGGCUGCCUGCACACUCCUCCUAGUCUGGGAGGCCUCUCUGCCCCUAUGGGGCCUACUCCUGCUCUUGGGGAUGGCACCUGAGUCCAGCUGGUAUGAGCCAGUGCUGGGAGUCUGUGCUGACCAGGGGCUGAGGAUAUCAAUAAAGAGCUAUCU